GAUGAAGAACGUAGCGAAAUGCGAUACUUGGUGUGAAUUGCAGAAUCCCGUGAACCAUCGAGUUUUUGAACGCAAGUUGCGCCCGAAGCCAUUCGGCCGAGGGCACGUCUGCCUGGGUGUCACGCAUCGUUGCCCCCCCCAAACUUCGGUUCGGGCGGGGCAGAAGUUGGCCUCCCGUGCGUGCCUGCGCGUGCGGUUAGCCCAAAAGCGAGUCCUCGGCGACGAGCGCCACGAAAAUCGGUGGUUUUUUUGCCCUCGUUCCUCGUCGUGCGUGCCCCGUCGCCCGAACGCGCUCUUGCGACCUUCACGCGUCGCCUCGGUGGCGCUCCCAACGCGACCCCAGGUCAGGCGGGACUACCCGCUGAGUUUAAGCAUAUCAAUAAGCGGAGGA
rnacentral:misc_RNA from 1 species